UGGGGAAUAUUGCACAAUGGGCGAAAGCCUGAUGCAGCGACGCCGCGUGAGGGAUGACGGCCUUCGGGUUGUAAACCUCUUUCAGCAGGGAAGAAGCCACAGGUGACGGUACCUGCAGAAGAAGCGCCGGCUAACUACGUGCCAGCAGCCGCGGUAAUACGUAGGGCGCAAGCGUUGUCCGGAAUUAUUGGGCGUAAAGAGCUCGUAGGCGGUUUGUCGCGUCUGCUGUGAAAGCCCGGGGCUUAACCCCGGGUGUGCAGUGGGUACGGGCAGACUAGAGUGCAGUAGGGGAGACUGGAAUUCCUGGUGUAGCGGUGGAAUGCGCAGAUAUCAGGAGGAACACCGAUGGCGAAGGCAGGUCUCUGGGCUGUUACUGACGCUGAGGAGCGAAAGCAUGGGGAGCGAACA
rnacentral:rRNA from 1 species